rnacentral:rRNA from 1 species
AACGAACGCUAUCGGUAUGCUUAACACAUGCAAGUCGGACGGACUAAUUAGGGCUUGCUCCAAUUAGUUAGUGGCAGACGGGUGAGUAACACGUGGGAAUCUGCCCAUCAGUACGGAAUAACUUUUAGAAAUAAAAGCUAAUACCGUAUAUUCUCUACAGAGGAAAGAUUUAUCGCUGAUGGAUGAGCCCGCGUCAGAUUAGGUAGUUGGUGAGGUAACGGCUCACCAAGCCGACGAUCUGUAGCUGGUCUGAGAGGAUGAUCAGCCACACUGGGACUGAGACACGGCCCAGACUCCUACGGGAGGCAGCAGUGGGGAAUAUUGGACAAUGGGCGAAAGCCUGAUCCAGCAAUACCGAGUGAGUGAUAAAGGCUCUAGGGUUGUAAAGCUCUUUUAGCAAGGAAGAUAAUGACGUUACUUGCAGAAAAAGCCCCGGCUAACUCCGUG